rnacentral:rRNA from 1 species
AUUGAACGCUGGCGGCAUGCUCUACACAUGCAAGUCGAACGGUAACAGGCCGCAAGGUGCUGACGAGUGGCGAACGGGUGAGUAAUGCAUCGGAACGUGCCCAGUCGUGGGGGAUAACUACUCGAAAGAGUAGCUAAUACCGCAUACGAUCUAUGGAUGAAAGCGGGGGACCGUAAGGCCUCGCGCGAUUGGAGCGGCCGAAGUCAGAUUAGGUAGUUGGUGGGGUAAAGGCUCACCAAGCCAACGAUCUGUAGCUGGUCUGAGAGGACGACCAGCCACACUGGGACUGAGACACGGCCCAGACUCCUACGGGAGGCAGCAGUGGGGAAUUUUCGACAAUGGGCGCAAGCCUGAUCCAGCAAUGCCGCGUGCAGGAAGAAGGCCUUCGGGUUGUAAACUGCUUUUGUACGGAACGAAACGGCUCUGGUUAAUACCCGGGGCUAAUGACGGUACCGUAAGAAUAAGCACCGGCUAACUACGUG